rnacentral:rRNA from 1 species
UACGUAGGGGGCGAGCGUUGUCCGGAUUUAUUGGGCGUAAAGAGCUCGUAGGCGGCUUAGCAAGUCGGGUGUGAAAACUCCAGGCUCAACCUGGAGACGCCACUCGAGACUGCUAUGGCUAGAGUCCGGUAGGGGACCACGGAAUUCCUGGUGUAGCGGUGAAAUGCGCAGAUAUCAGGAGGAACACCAGCGGCGAAGGCGCCGCUCUGGGCCGUAACUGACGCUGAGGAGCGAAAGCAUGGGUAGCAAACAGG